AUCUGGCAAACGGGAGCACAGCAGGAAAGGGAGGUGAAAAUACGGGAGAAACCCGAGAAAAACAGGAGUGUUUUCAGGUGUCUGUUCAAGCUGCUGCUCAAGUGAGAAUAUAUCACUUCCAGUACACCUGAGGAUUUGCUUUCCACCAGUCAGGACAGGAACAGACUAAAACGCACAGCCAGGUCUGCAGAAAAGAUCAUUGGUGCCGACCUGCCCACCACCCAGGACAUCCAGAGUCAGGAAACGGGCAAGGAAAAUCAAUGCAGACCCCUCACACCCUGGACAUAACCUGUUCCGACUUCUCCUCUCUGGUAGACGCUACAGAACAUUGUACGCCAAACUACCAGACACAAGAACAGCUCCUUUCCUCUUGUCGUCACUCUGAUAAAGUGUUAACUCAGUCUCUGUGCAGUAACCCUGUAACACUAUAAUACUCACUGUAACUCCAAAUUAUACAUAUUUAUUUCAAUUUAAAAUACAAAACAUGAAAUAAAAUGUAUACAUAUCAUUCAUGACUGUAUAUUUGAGCAGGCUUUGUAUAUACUGUACAUAACCACCUACUGUAUGUACAUAAACUAAUAUCACUUUUUAACCCAUUCAGUAUUUAUUUCAGCACUCCUUGCACUCUUCACACCUUUGCACUAUUUGUGUCCUGUUCACAGAAACAGUAUGUACAUAGAAAUUGUAUGUCGUUGUCCACUUGUUGUUUUUAUAUUUAUGUAUCUAUUUUUUCACCCACUUGCUUGUACACAAUAGUGAUAUGUUUUUGUUUAAUUACCUUUGUUUGGCUUGUUGUCCAUGUGUAUCUUUCUGAAGAUUGUUGUGUGUGAGCACAUUGAGAACCACUAGAAACUGGAGUCAAAUGCUUUGUAUGUAUAAACAGAGUUGG